UACUAAAAAUUCAAUUCAUUUCUACCGUUAAAAACUAUCGUUGGUAAUAGAAUAAUCAGAAAAUUACAUAUAGUGUGCCAUGUAUACUUCAUUAUAAUGUACAUGGACCAAUUUUUAACAGUAAAAAUAGAUGAAAUUUUUAACA
rfam:Gossypium hirsutum cultivar TM-1 chromosome 14, whole genome shotgun sequence